GAUGAACGCUGGCGGCGUGCUUAACACAUGCAAGUCGAACGAUGAAGCCCAGCUUGCUGGGUGGAUUAGUGGCGAACGGGUGAGUAACACGUGAGUAACCUGCCCUUCACUCUGGGAUAAGCCUGGGCAACUGGGUCUAAUACCGGAUAGGAGCGUCCACCGCAUGGUGGGUGUUGGAAAGAUUUAUCGGUUUUGGAUGGACUCGCGGCCUAUCAGCUUGUUGGUGAGGUAAUGGCUCACCAAGGCGACGACGGGUAGCCGGCCUGAGAGGGUGACCGGCCACACUGGGACUGAGACACGGCCCAGACUCCUACGGGAGGCAGCAGUGGGGAAUAUUGCACAAUGGGCGCAAGCCUGAUGCAGCGACGCCGCGUGAGGGAUGACGGCCUUCGGGUUGUAAACCUCUUUCAGUAGGGAAGAAGCGAAAGUGACGGUACCUGCAGAAGAAGCACCGGCUAACUACGUG
rnacentral:rRNA from 1 species